UACGGAGGGGGCUAGCGUUGUUCGGAAUUACUGGGCGUAAAGCGCACGUAGGCGGCUUUGUAAGUUAGAGGUGAAAGCCUGGAGCUCAACUCCAGAAUUGCCUUUAAGACUGCAUCGCUUGAAUCGCGGAGAGGUGAGUGGAAUUCCGAGUGUAGAGGUGAAAUUCGUAGAUAUUCGGAAGAACACCAGUGGCGAAGGCGGCUCACUGGACGCGUAUUGACGCUGAGGUGCGAAAAGCGUGGGGAGCAAACAGGG
rnacentral:rRNA from 1 species